rnacentral:rRNA from 1 species
CUACGGGUCGCACCAGUGAGGAAUUUUGCGCAAUGGGCGAAAGCCUGACGCAGCAACGCCGCGUGAGUGAUGAAGGCCUUCGGGUCGUAAAGCUCUGUCAAGUGGGAAGAACCUAUGUAAUGUUAAUAUCAUUAUAUACUGACGGUACCACUAAAGGAAGCACCGGCUAGCUCCGUGCCAGCAGCCGCGGUAAUACGGGGGGUGCAAGCGUUAUUCGGAAUCAUUGGGCGUAAAGGGCACAUAGGCGGCCUGGUAAGUCAGAUGUGAAAGCCCGGGGCUUAACCCCGGAAGUGCAUUUGAUACUGUCAGGCUUGAGUAUGGGAGAGGGAAGUGGAAUUCCUGGUGUAGAGGUGAAAUUCGUAGAUAUCAGGAGGAACACCGGUGGCGAAGGCGACUUCAUGGACCAAUACUGACGCUGAGGUGCGAAGGCGUGGGUAGCAAACAGGAUUAGAUACCCCUGUAGUC